AGUUUGAAAAGGUCUAGAUCAGAUUUGUAGGCCAUGUGGCCCAGAAGUUUGAAAAGGUCUAGAUCAGAUUUGUAGGCCAUGUGGCCCAGAAGUUUGAAAAGGUCUAGAUCAGAUUUGUAGGCCAUGUGGCCCAGAAGUUUGAAAAGGUCUAGAUCAGAUUUGUAGGCCAUGUGGCCCAGAAGUUUGAAAAGGUCUAGAUCAGAUUUGUAGGCCAUGUGGCCCAGAAGUUAGAAAAGGUCUAGAUCAGAUUUGUAGGCCAUGUGGCCCAGAAGUUUGAAAAGGUCUAGAUCAGAUUUGUAGGCCAUGUGGCCCAGAAGUUUGAAAAGGUCUAGAUCAGAUUUGUAGGCCAUGUGGCCCAGAAGUUUGAAAAGGUCUAGAUCAGAUUUGUAGGCCAUGUGGCCCAGAAGUUUGAAAAGGUCUAGAUCAGAUUUGUAGGCCAUGUGGCCCAGAAGUUUGAAAAGGUCUAGAUCAGAUUUGUAGGCCAUGUGGCCCAGAAGUUUGAAAAGGUCUAGAUCAGAUUUGUAGGCCAUGUGGCCCAGAAGUUUGAAAAGGUCUAGAUCAGAUUUGUAGGCCAUGUGGCCCAGAAGUUUGAAAAGGUCUAGAUCAGAUUUGUAGGCCAUGUGGCCCAGAAGUUUGAAAAGGUCUAGAUCAGAUUUGUAGGCCAUGUGGCCCAGAAGUUUGAAAAGGUCUAGAUCAGAUUUGUAGGCCAUGUGGCCCAGUUCUGCUGUGA